rnacentral:rRNA from 1 species
UACAGAGGUCUCAAGCGUUGUUCGGAUUCAUUGGGCGUAAAGGGUGCGUAGGUGGCGCUGUAAGUCAGGUGUGAAAUUUCGGAGCUUAACUCCGAAACUGCAUUUGAUACUGCGGUGCUUGAGGACUGGAGAGGAGACUGGAAUUUACGGUGUAGCAGUGAAAUGCGUAGAGAUCGUAAGGAAGACCAGUGGCGAAGGCGGGUCGUCUGGACAGUUCCUGACACUGAGCACGAAGGCCAGGGGAGCAAACGGG